AUCUGAAUAACUGCACUUCAUAUGAAAUAAACGAAAUUUUGAUUUAAUAAUAUUUUUAAAUUGAUUUUAAACUUUCGAUUGCUUUUUCUACAAACAUUAUGAGCUGAUAAGAGUUUGCAUUGUCUAAGUAAACACUAGAAGGUUCUAGAACUCACGUUAGAUAUGUUACAUCAAUUGUAAUAGAUUUGUUAAUAAGAAAUAAGUUUUCUCGGGGUUUAGUGUGAGAGUGAUGCUAUGCAAUACAGAGGUAGCGAACGAUACGGGAUAAAGUAUUCAGUGAACAGAUUUUCCGUUUGACAAAAAUGAAACUAAUGUUAAAGGCCAAUGAUUUAAAAAGUGAAAUUUUAAAAUAAGAACAUCACCGAAUUCCGAGCACCCGUCCCAUACUAAAUUGGCGGCAACGUCCACGCAGCUGCGUGGCCAAGAGACCUUGAGAGCAAGUGCCAGUGGCCCGGAGCUGUUCGAAAUUCAAAAUGUAACCAACGGAAAGCGAAGCAAAAAGUUCGCAUUGGCUGUAUGUCGUUUGCGGUUAUCAUUAUGUUUCGUUAUAAUUUUCUUUCAGUCGGUAAAAGGAAGUGUCAAAUUAGCGGACCAAUUUCGAAAUUGGGUCUCGAGGUUAUCAUGUCAGGUUUGACUUUUUUUUUUGUAAGCCAAUAUACAUCGCAGACGUAUUUAUUUCAAAGUAUUUCAUAUCACAAAAUUACCCCUUUUUGGGGUAAGUUCUGGGGUAAUCUCUAUGCAUAGAAUAUGUGUGGUGUGAAAAAUAAAACAAAAUAUAUUUCAACAAAUGAAAGAAAUUUAUUGUAUACAGUUUGUUUUAAAUAUCCUCACACACCUUUACAUCUGCCUCACCGCUCUCGCCAUCAACUUUAAGAUAUUAACGUAAGAUAUAAAGGUCUUAAAGAUAAAAUGUCAUUACACAAUAUGAAAGAAUGUCCACCUCGAAUGUCGCUACGUUAGCUAUAUGAUAUAAGAGACUGUUUCCAACAUACACAGUGCACAAUUCCACAUUUUCAAAUCAACAUUUUGCCGCCAAGCGACCUUUUGGACGUUAAUUCUCAUAUUUUCUUUUAUAUAUUUUCAGUCGAAUCGCCGGAAGCUUAGCUUUCAUUAAUUUGUUUUGCUCUAAUUUGACUAGAUUCAAUACAGAAGUGCCAAUUUACCGAAACUCGCUUAGCAGAUGAAA